UUGAUAGAAGCCAAAAAGAGGUUUAUCACUGUUAAUGAUAUAAUUGAAUGGACUUCCUAUCAAC
rnacentral:tRNA from 1 species